AGUUCUGGGCCUGGUUCUCAGAUCCAUUUCUCUCCUUCCUCUUCCUCUGCUCCCGAUCGCAGGGAGAAGCACACUCUACCUCCCUGUUGGUGGGUGAAGGAAACACAGGCAAAGGCUCAGAUGCUGGACAGACAAAAAGAUGAUAUAUAUCCACUUCUCUGAAUGAAGCUCACUGAGUGCUUGAUGAAGAACUGUGGCCCAAGGAAGCUCAGUGGGUCCCCGAAGUCGCUAGUUUCUUCCUCUGUGAAAGGUUCU